UACGAAGGGGGCUAGCGUUGCUCGGAAUCACUGGGCGUAAAGGGCGCGUAGGCGGGUCUUUAAGUCAGGGGUGAAAUCCUGGAGCUCAACUCCAGAACUGCCUUUGAUACUGAAGAGCUUGAGUUCGGGAGAGGUGAGUGGAACUGCGAGUGUAGAGGUGAAAUUCGUAGAUAUUCGCAAGAACACCAGUGGCGAAGGCGGCUCGCUGGCCCGAUACUGACGCUGAGGCACGAAAGCGUGGGGAGCAAACAGG
rnacentral:rRNA from 1 species